UACGGAGGGGGCUAGCGUUGUUCGGAAUUACUGGGCGUAAAGGGCGCGUAGGCGGCCUGCUAAGUCGAACGUGAAAUCCCCGGGCUCAACCCGGGAACUGCGUCCGAUACUGGCAGGCUUGAAUCCGGGAGAGGGAUGCGGAAUUCCAGGUGUAGCGGUGAAAUGCGUAGAUAUCUGGAGGAACACCGGUGGCGAAGGCGGCAUCCUGGACCGACACUGACGCUGAGGAGCGAAAGCCAGGGGAGCAAACGGGG
rnacentral:rRNA from 1 species